ACUUACGGCCAUACCAGCCUGAAUACGCCCGAUCUCAUCUGAUCUCGGAAGCUAAGCAGGGUCGGGCCUGGUUAGUACUUGGAUGGGAAACCAACUGGGAAUACCAGGUGCUGUAAGUG
rnacentral:rRNA from 1 species